CUAUUUACGUUAUUUUUAUGUUUUUAGGAUUUGUUAUGCAAAGAAAAUAAAAAUAGCACAAAUGAGUUUUAAAUAAUAAACAGAAAGAAUAUUGGUUUUAUUUUUGGAUUGGGUUUUAUUUUGGUUUAUUUUGAUUUAUUGUGUUUGUAGGAGAAGAAAGUGGAAAGCACUGAGAAAUUAAAUAGAAAAACGUGGGACGGACAGACUGCAAAGGGAAUAAGUGGCAGGUCCAAAGCUAGGCGUGAAAGCUGCUUUGCAGCUGGUCAGCAGAUGGGAUGGAAUAAAAAUAUGAAGUGAAAAAAGGAAAGAAAAAGAGAAACAAAUAAAAUAAAGGAAAGAAAGAUAGCAAGGCAGAAACGUGAAAGCAGGUGGGGGCUGACGUGGAGAAAAGGGACGGUCAGAAUUGAUGCAAGAAUAAAAUCAAGAAGUACCUGCUUGGUUGUCGAGGUAGGCAGCUCGAGCUUCAUUUUUGGUGGAGGGAGGAAAAUAAUAAAAGGAGGGAAAGAGGUCAGAAGACAGGGGGGUCUUGGAGCGGGAGAAGGGAGCUGCCCUUUGGGCAGCUCGCAGAAGGUCAGAAAGGAGAGUAGCUGCCUUGGCAGCUGGGGGGGAGAGACGUGGAGAUACGGGGGAGAUGUGAAAGAAGAGUUGCCAUUUGGAAGCUGGAGCUGGAGGGCAAGUGAAAGCUGCUUGGCAGCGUGCAGCAUGCCAGGAGAGAAGUGACGCAGGGAGAGGACCGAGAGGAGAGUGCUGCCAUUGGGCAGCUUGAGGAAGGGAAGUCAGUGGCGAGGAGAAGAGAGUCCAGAGACGCAGGGUGAGGGGAGGUCACAAGCUGCCUUUGGCAGCGUGACUGGCAGAACACGGAGACUUGCGCGGAGACUUGCGGGGAGACUUGCGAGGAGCUGCCUUGCGCGAGAGGACAGAGAGAGAAGGCGGGAGCAGCGUGAGCCUCAACAGGGGUUCAAAGAGCACGGACAGAAACAGAAGCAGCAAGCUUCUCCUCUUUCGGUUAAAACUUUCCAACUUAUAUUUUACUUUUGGUUAAAUGUUUUAAUAAUGUGUAAUUAAAUUUUAUUUUGGCUAGAGGUUAAUUCAAAGCCAUGAAUAUAUUUGUAAUAUGAAUUGAUUACCUUCGGUUGUGAUUUCAUAAGUUGUGAUUUCAAUUUACUUAUCUGUUCGUAUAAAAACUAAUUUGUGUAUGUUGGUUGAGAGUGCACGCUUAAUUUACAUGCAUGAAUUUGACGCUAGAAUAUAAGGGAAUUUCACCUAAUCGUUAUGAACUUAUAUUCAUAAGUAGUGAAGGUUGCUAGUCACAAUCACGUUAAGUAAAUUCUUGGCAUAAGUUUCAUGCAAAUCAUAGUAACGAGUGUCUCGUCAAUGCUUAUGUUUUUCAUAGAACUUAUUGAUUCUUGCUUGUAUCUCUAUUAUGCAACUCAUGUAGGGAACUUGUAGGGAAUGUUUUGGGUUGUCGUAUGCAAUCAUCCAACCCAAUAACUUGUGGAAAAACUGAGGGUUAAUUUAAGCGUACCUAAUUAACUUGGGGCAUUGAAAUUUACAAUUUAUUAAAUGAACAACUGGAAAUCAUUUUGUAUGCAAGUAUAACAUGUGUGGAGAAGAACCCUCUAGCUAGUCCGUCAUUUAUCAUUUUACCUUAAUUUUAUGUUUUUGUCAAUUCUGUAAUUUAAUUAAGUUUAAUUUACUUUUCAUCAAAACCAAACACCCAUCCAUUAUUAAAUUAUAUUAUUUAUUUAGUUUUCUUUAUUGUUAGUCUUUUAAUUUAAUUUCCGUCCAUUUCAGUUCCUAGUGUUUAAUUUAAUUGUUUUCAUUAUUUUGAGUCAUUUUAAGUGUGUUUCGAGUUAUUAGAGUUUUUAGCCUAGUUUUGUGUCCUUGAGUCUUAUUUAAUAUUUUUAAGUUAAUUUAAUAGAUUAGCAAUCCCUCCUAAUUCCCGGCCUAGAACGAUACCCUACUUACAUCUAUACUACAAUUGUCAAAAAGAGGGUUUAAUUUGUGUGUCAAGUAAUUCUCGCACCAAAUUUUGGCGCCGUUGCCGGGGAUUAGCAACUUUGCUAAUCCUUUUAUUUUUGUUUUUGUUUAUGUUUAUAUUGGUGUUUGUGUAUUUUACUUUUGAUAUUUGAUUUAUUUUUCUUUCUUUGAUUUUAGGUUCAAAUGGAGCCGAGGGAAAUUUAAAGGAAAGAUGCGUCCGGCUAAAGACGUUAAAUCAAGCGCUUCUUGGGAGGCAACCCAAGCAUUCAACGAAGGGAGACUUUGGAAUCACUAACCCAAUCAGCUUUGCAUUCUUCCACCCUUAUCUUUACUGCUUUCAUUUUGUUUUGUUUAGUUAGUUGUGUUAUUUGGUUGAUUUCUGUGAGUUUGUGUUAUUUAGUUUAAGUGUGGGGGAAGAUUAACCAAAGUCUCUUUACAUUAAUUUACAUUUAAAAAGAAAAAAAAAAAAAAAAGAUAAAAUUUAAAAUUAAUGAUAAAAAAAAAAUACAUAAAAAAAAAAAAUUUAAAAAUUUAAAAAAAAAAAAAUUAAAAAAAAAAAAAAAAGUACAAAUAUUUUACAAUAAUGUAAACUAAUAGUAUUCAUUGGUCGGGUGGUGCUUCGGUAGUAGGCGGGGCUUCAGCAGUCGGCGGGGCCACAGAAGGAGGAGGCAGCAGAGGUUGAUCAGUUGGAGCUUCACUACGCGGUGCCGCUCCAGAAGACGAAGGCAGAUGCGGUUGGAACAAACCCACAAACCUCCGAUGAUCAAGUAAAAUUUGACCAUCGGUGUCCUGCAUCUGGUCAAUCUUUCUUUUCAUGCUGGUGGCAUAAUUGUGUGCAAGCUUGUGCAAUUGUUUAUUUUCAUGCUUGAGUCCUCUAAUCUCCUCUUUGAGACUCUGUAUUUCAGCCACCAACGAUUCAACGUGACGGGUUCGAGCAAAUAGGCGUUGGGCCAUGUUGGAUACGGAACCGGCGCACUGCACGCUAAGUGCCAGAGACUCCUUAACCGCCAAUUCAUCAGACCGCCUAGCGAGCAGUCUGUUAUCUCUGGGGGUGACAAGAUUCCGGGCCACCACCGCAGCAGUCAUGUCAUUUUUCAUCACCGAAUCCCCCACGGUAAGAGGACCGGUAGGGGAUAUGAAGGAUGGGCGCCAUAUAUUGUCUGGUGAAGGCGGAGCUGCCUCUUCACCAAUGUUCAAGUCAAAACGACGAUCGGAAGGGCCAGACAUUUUUCAGAGGUGGUGAAGAAAGAAGAGAGUCGGAAUGAUCAAGAUUAAACAAGUGCAAGAAGGGAGUGUUUACAGGAGGGUGCUCAAGUGUGUUGUGGAACAAGCUUAACGCCUCUAUAAAAAGAAGAAAUCGGAGAGGCGCUCCUCAGAGAGGCGUCCUCUCGCAAAUCGAAGAGUCGGGGCUCCGUUCUCAAAACGCCUGAUUCUUUUCUCAAAAGAGGAGUCUCCUUUCUCAAAAGUCGGAUUCUUUUCUCAAAAGAGGCGUUUCAUUUCUUAAAAAUUGGGCUUGCUCAGAAACCACGAGCCGAAUCCCGGAUUUCGAAGGAUCACUUUGUCCAGACGUGUCGUCACUCGUCACAUGCAACCGGUAACUUUGCGGAAAUUACGGGCAGCUUUGUCAGAAAGCGCGUAAUUUGUACUAUUCAUCCAUCCACCGGCUGCCGACAAUGAGUGAGAGAACAGUUCCGGUUGUGAAGAAAAGCCCUAUAAGUAUCUACCUUCGCCUUCCACAGCAAAGACACACCCUCUCCGCACUUCUUCAUCUCCGAAAAUGCAUUCCCAAAGAAUCCUCCUAAGUUACUCUGUGUUCCUCAUUCCCUUGGGAUACUCCUGAAAACAACCCAUUCAAAGCAAAAGUAUUUCAUAUCAUGAAGGUUGAAAGUAAGAGUAUCUCAUAUCAUGCUUUCUCCCUGUCCUUUCUCCAGCCAGCACUUGCUCUCGAGUACUCAUCAUCUUGUGUUUCCUCUUCGUCUCUUACGUAUAAGGGAAGUGAAGAUGAUACCUCGAAGCAUGUGGAGACAACGUGCUGAUUCAUCCUCAACUAGGGACAAGGAGAAAGAGAGCAAGAGGUGGGCACUUGGAAAGAUUGAAGAAAGAAACAGACCAAUACCUCUACCUCGUGCCUGCCCGCCAUGCAGAGGAAACAAGCAGAGAAGAAUGCAGCUUGCGCAAUCAUCCCAGCGGAAGGAGUCUGAGAUGAAGAACAAGAGAAGCUGCCACAUCUGCUUGGAGAACAAAUAAGGAACUGCAACAUUCCCAAAGAGCAAAGCCUUGCAGUACAAUAGCAUAAAAUCAUCACUUGCAAGUGAAAAGCUAAGUGUCACCCUGUUCAAGAGGAAAGCUGUGGAAAGUCAACAAGCACGACCAAUAAUUACUUAUUAGUUUUAUUCAUUAUCUUUUAUCGUAAUUUUCAAUUUUUCGUUUGCAAUUUUUUUUUAAUUAAUUUUCUUGCGUUACUUAACUGAAUUAUUUCUUUUCUUUGCAGGAACUUUUGGUUAUUUCCACCCUUGAAGUUGAUUGCAGAAUUUUAGCUUGGGGGUCAUCGCUUGAUUUUACUGCAAAUUAGGGAAGUUUUCAGUCCACUUGUUUUAUUUUGUUUCUUAUUAUUUAUUUUAUUUUAUUUUUUUUUAUUUGCAUUAUAGUGUUUUCUGACAUUGGGGACAAUGUCAAGUUUAAGUGUGGGGGUAGAAAUCUCUAGAAUUUCAUUUGUUUCUGUGUUGUUAGUUUUUGUUUUCUUAAAAAAAAAAAAAAAAAAAAAAAAAAAAAAUCAAAAAAAAUAUUGUCUUGUUUUCCCUUAUUGUUUUGAAUUAGAUUUUUUGUUAGUUUCCCUACCCAAUGAUAUAAUUGGAUCAAAUUUGAACCAUGAUCAUCAAGAACUUAGUUAACAUGUGUUUUGUGAAAUUCCUAAUUCUCUUGUUAGUUUUGUACAUGUUUGACCAUCUUUGAAAAACCAAAUGCACAUAGCCUUGUUGAUGUGAAACUAAAGUAUGAAUUAAAGCUUCAUAUGUGAAUUUAGUGACCAUAUAUAAUUCCUAUGUGAGUUUUUGAGCCUAUUGAAAGUGUGUGCAUUUUUCAUACACUCCUAUUAUUUCAUGUGUGAUGAACUUAUGUGAGAUACAUCUCUAGAACUUGCGUAACGAUCUUUCGAAAUGUUUGUCAUUGAUUGCAUGAACUUGGAAAUGAUAGAGGCAUUAGGUUUACCACUAUGGCCCAAAUAACCAUGUUUCCCAAAUAACCAUGUUUCCCAAAGAAAAAUGAUAUCAUUAGAUUGCCAAUUUGAGCCAUGUAUGUUGAGCCUUUUAUUUCUUAUCACCAGAUAUGUCUACCCUUAUACCUGAAACAUUUUUCCUUACCCUUUCCAAGCAAGCUAGUGAGCAAUGUGAGAUUGUUUUAUGAGAAACGUUUGUGAAGUACUGUGAAGAUGUUUAGCAAAAGAUUAAGUGUGGGGGUAUUUCAUGUUUGUAUUUAAAAAAAAAAAAAAAAAAAAAAAAAAAGAGAGAAAAGAAAAAGAAAAAGAAAGAUUGUAUACGAAGAAAAAAAAAAAGGAAGAAAAAAAAAAAAAAAAAGUUUUUUUUAAAAGUUUCAGUUUAAGGGUAUGGUUGGAGGUGCUAGAAGAAUCGCUGGAAAAAUUGAGUUCUUAUAAAUCUAAACAAAAGAAUUGCUUGCAAUAUAGCUUGGAACUUGUGUUUUCCUAUUCUUUCAUUUCAAUAACCCUAUCCCUAAGCCUCAUUACAUCCAAUAAAAGUCCUCUUGAUUUAAGUUUUGCAAUUAUGACUGUGGAGAAGUGAUCUUUAUGCAAGCUUAUGGUAGAAAUUUCACAUUUGUUUCUUUGAGCGAAACACAUUAAAACUAAACACAUGUGUGAUUGAGUGCAUAUCCAGUGAGAAGGUCGCUAGUUUGCAUAUGAUGAUUUUAAAAAUAAAAACUUGAAAUUGCAUUAGCAUGGCUAUCUCACACACUACACUUCAAGGAUGAUUUGAAGACUACUGCUAAUAUUUGAAUAAGGAAGAUGAACUUGGAUUAGUUCCUUGAUGCUAGCUAUGGUUCUUGAUGAUUUGUUUUCUUAAAUGAAAUUCUAUGAGGGUCAGAUAGGGAGAAACUAAUGUUUUUCUUGUUACUUCUUGUUCUUGUUUUCUUUGUUUUGCUCGAGGACUAGCAAAAGUUAAGUGUGGGGGUAUUUGAUCGGAUGAUAUUUAUAUAUAUUUUUACUUCGAAUUCACUCGUCUUUUCUUAGUUAGUUCCUUAUAUUUUUAAUCUAUUUACGUUAUUUUUAUGUUUUUAGGAUUUGUUAUGCAAAGAAAAUAAAAAUAGCACAAAUGAGUUUUAAAUAAUAAACAGAAAGAAUAUUGGUUUUAUUUUUGGAUUGGGUUUUAUUUUGGUUUAUUUUGAUUUAUUGUGUUUGUAGGAGAAGAAAGUGGAAAGCACUGAGAAAUUAAAUAGAAAAACGUGGGACGGACAGACUGCAAAGGGAAUAAGUGGCAGGUCCAAAGCUAGGCGUGAAAGCUGCUUUGCAGCUGGUCAGCAGAUGGGAUGGAAUAAAAAUAUGAAGUGAAAAAAGGAAAGAAAAAGAGAAACAAAUAAAAUAAAGGAAAGAAAGAUAGCAAGGCAGAAACGUGAAAGCAGGUGGGGGCUGACGUGGAGAAAAGGGACGGUCAGAAUUGAUGCAAGAAUAAAAUCAAGAAGUACCUGCUUGGUUGUCGAGGUAGGCAGCUCGAGCUUCAUUUUUGGUGGAGGGAGGAAAAAUAAUAAAAGGAGGGAAAGAGGUCAGAAGACAGGGGGGUCUUGGAGCGGGAGAAGGGAGCUGCCCUUUGGGCAGCUCGCAGAAGGUCAGAAAGGAGAGUAGCUGCCUUGGCAGCUGGGGGGGAGAGACGUGGAGAUACGGGGGAGAUGUGAAAGAAGAGUUGCCAUUUGGAAGCUGGAGCUGGAGGGCAAGUGAAAGCUGCUUGGCAGCGUGCAGC
rnacentral:lncRNA from 1 species